UCAGUAGGUAGUUUAUGGUAAAAUUUUAGUUUUGGAAACUAAAGAAAAUGAUUUUCUACUG
rnacentral:tRNA from 1 species